AGUACCAGUACAGUUGUGUGCAAUUUAACUUCUGUGUUCUGCUUUUCAGUUUUAGUCUUUUAAUUUAUUUGAGCAAAUGAAAACAACCUGUAUAUUUUUUGUUUUAUUGUAAACCCGCAAUGCACUUGCAAAUUACCCAACAAUAAUGCAAAUCUGUAAUGUGUACUAAUAGCUCUACUGAGUAUCUUUCUAAAACAAUGGGUUUAUAUUUAAACAGAGAUCUUUUCAACGCUGAAACGGGAGUUACUAGGAAUAAAAUAGCACAAGAUUUUGAAAUUGCAAAGUUUGCAUUGGAUGCCGACAGUUUCUGCGGAUUUAAAGAACGAAACGCUCCAACACAUUAAUACUGCAACACGGUACGUGUGAAGGCAAUGCCCAGCCAAGGCCGUAUGAAGAAGCAAGGAGUUGUCAUAAGAAUAGGUUAGUUUAGGGGAUACUGAUCCCAAGUUAAUGUAUAGUGAGGGUUACAUAGUGUAGCCGGUUCCUGGAGUGGGACGCCUCAUUCAGUAAGGUCCCAUGGAAGUUCGUUAUAGUGAAGUUAGCCUGUAUAUUAUUAUUUUUAUUUAUUUAUUAUCAGACGCCCUUACCCAGGGCUGUGCAAAAGUCUUACACAUGUUGUAUUCUUCUACACUGAUGCAUUAUGAGCAUCAACAAUUUACUCAAAUCCUCCACUAGUGUUUUCUACUAUUAUAACAACCUUGACUUGCUUAAAGAAGGAAAAACAUUGAGUGAAAUAGCUUGCAUCACUCGAUUUUCAAGGUGUGGUAUCCGAAGCAUAAUCAACAAGUACAGAGAGACAUCAUCUGUAAUUGACAAACCCAGGACUGGAAGACCCAAAAAGCUGUCUAAUAAGGAUGAACAAUACUUGAAGAUAAUAUCCUUAAGGAAUAGAAAGAAGACAAGCAUUGAAUUGACAACGGAACUGGCAAAGGCACAUGUGUUGUUGUCCAUCAAAUCAACAGUACGAAGGUCACUCUUGAAAUCAGGACUUAAAGGAUGUGUUGCAGUAAGAAUACGACCUCUGUUAAGAAAGGGGAAUGAGACUAAAAGGCUAAAAUAUGCACAAGAAUACAGAACUUGGACUAUGGAACAGUGGUCAAAGGUGCUUUGGACUGUUGAUGGAUGUUAGACAUAUAGUUUUUUUCAAUCCUAAGAUUCUAGGUGAUACAAAAUGUUUGGCCAUAGCUGUAUACUUUAAAUAGUUUGAUAUGCCAUCUUGAGCUGUAAAAUCAAGUUACAUCACCAAAUCAUAAAAAUGUAAUAUUCAAAUGACCAUGUUAUACUAUAUAGCUUGUACUGUACAUAUGCAGUGGUUUCUCAUGUGGUUAAUUAUUGAGUUCAGCAAUUCAUCACAUUUCAGGAAAAGCAAUAAAACUGCACGACUGGUCAGCUGUAAAGUCACUAUUAAAAGAUUCUCAACCUUCACUACAGUGAUUAAACCAUAACAAAUGCAUCUCCAAAGACAGUACAGAUCUAUAGUAAUAGUGCUAGUUUAAUGCUCUGACAGAAGAACAUUGUGGGUUGUUCUUUUGCUCAAAAGAAACAUUUGCUUUAUUAAAGGGGCAUGCUUGUUCAGAGCUUUGAAAGAUACAGAUUCUAACUCUAGGGAGUAGAUUCAGUGAAAAAAUACACUCACUGCAUCUUUCCCUGUUCUGUGUAACCUGCAAUGCACAGGAGUGUUUAAAAUAAGGUCUGAAUGAAAGAGAUUUGUAUUUUUCUUAUAUGGUGAUGUAAUUCUCAGAGUUUUAAUAAAUAGUGUCUGUUGAUAAACCGACCCCUUCAAGUGGAAUCAGUUAUAAGGUCUUAUGUCCACCUCACGAGCCCAUUUCACUUGCUGCAUUUUUAUUGGAAACCCUCAAUUACAGGUUUUAAAGUAAGGCACAUAUGUAAACAUUUCAGCUACAUCAUUCUCAUUAGAAAGAAGAAAAAUAUACAUGUACAACAUUACAAAUGGUG